rnacentral:lncRNA from 1 species
CUCCAUGCAUAAGAAAUAAAUGAUAAUAGUCAUAUAUUGCCUUCAAGUAUGAUGACAUAACUUUUUUGACAAUCAUUUUACUAUCUACCUAGACAAUGUGGUGAUGAAUUGCUUCACGUGACACAACCUCAUGCUAGAAACAUCUUGAUAGUAGAACUUUAUGAAGAUUCAUGGUUUAUCCCCCAAGUAAAAGUUAGGGUGUGCCAAUAUUGUGCUAUAC